rnacentral:tmRNA from 1 species
UCAGGAUAGGUUUCCGUGGCCUGCCUGAAAGCCUCCGGAAGCUGAAUCAGCAAUUUCAGGCUAAGCAUGUAGAUGUUUAAGUAACCUUACUGCAGGACGCGGGUUCGAUUCCCGCCGCCUCCACAG